CAUUAAGAAGCUAAGGAGAAUAGCGCUAGCCUUUUAAGCUAGAGAACGGUGGCUCGCAACCACCCUUAGUGG
rnacentral:tRNA from 1 species